GAUGAACGCUGGCGGCGUGCCUAAUACAUGCAAGUCGAGCGAACGGACGAGAAGCUUGCUUUUCUGAUGUUAGCGGCGGACGGGUGAGUAACACGUGGAUAACCUACCUAUAAGACUGGGAUAACUUCGGGAAACCGGAGCUAAUACCGGAUAAUAUUUUGAACCGCAUGGUUCAAAAGUGAAAGACGGUCUUGCUGUCACUUAUAGAUGGAUCCGCGCUGCAUUAGCUAGUUGGUAAGGUAACGGCUUACCAAGGCAACGAUGCAUAGCCGACCUGAGAGGGUGGUCGGCCACACGGGAACUGAGACACGGUCCAGACUCCUACGGGAGGCAGCAGUAGGGAAUCUUCCGCAAUGGGCGAAAGCCUGACGGAGCAACGCCGCGUGAGUGAUGAAGGUCUUCGGAUCGUAAAACUCUGUUAUUAGGGAAGAACAUAUGUGUAAGUAACUGUGCACAUCUUGACGGUACCUAAUCAGAAAGCCACGGCUAACUACGUG
rnacentral:rRNA from 1 species